rnacentral:rRNA from 1 species
UACAACGCACUACCUGUUCAUUGUAGUCGUUGCUGUCAACAGCACACUCCUCACCAUCAACGCAGAGGACUACAUCUUCUAAACAGCCUGGGCGUGGACGUCAUUCGUUGUGUUCUAGGUGUCGUCGUCAACGAUGUUUGCUGUAGGCAAACUUUGGUCAAGUUUGUGCCCAGGUGUUCCGGUAACUGCAACCUAUUACGCGCAUAUCAGGUCAAUCGACCCUUGGGGCCCUCAGGCCACUGGUUCUUGUCUUGGUUGCCCCUACUGGUUUGGCGGAACAGACGGAACAAGCACACUGCCAUACUGAUUGGCGGUGCGCUGGUCGGCCUAUCCUUCCCGCUGUUCUACAUGGUCAACCUGUUGCUUGUAAGGGACCCUCUCGAGAUAGCCUUCAAGUAUCCGAGACCGACUCUGCCCGCGUACAUGACGCCUAUAGGGCCUCAGGUAGGGAAGUUCUACAACUCGCCUGUCGCCCUGGGGUCAGGUGCCGGUGCAGUGCUAACGGUGCCCAUCGCAGCGUUGGGUGCAAAACUAAACACGUGG